rnacentral:rRNA from 1 species
UACGUAGGGACCGAGCGUUGUCCGGAUUCAUUGGGCGUAAAGAGCUCGUAGGCGGCUGCUCAAGUCGAAUGUGAAAACUCGAGGCUCAACCUCGAGCCUGCAUUCGAUACUGGGCGGCUAGAGUCUGGUAGGGGGAUCUGGAAUUCCUGGUGUAGCGGUGGAAUGCGCAGAUAUCAGGAGGAACACCGGUGGCGAAGGCGGGAUCCUGGGCCGGUAUUGACGCUGAGGAGCGAAAGCCAGGGGAGCAAACGGG